GGGGUUGUAGCUCAGGGGUAGAGCUUGCCUAGCACAUGUGAGGCACUGGGUUCAAUCCUCAGCACCACA
rnacentral:tRNA from 1 species